UUCGUUGAUCAUUUAAACAAUUUUAGUUUUACUGUUUUUGUUUAUAUAUUUUCCAAAAUAUGUUAAGGAUCUAAAAUGUCAUCUACCAAUGUCCAACAGUCUCUUUCCGUUCUAGGAAUCGACUUUUUAAUAAGUAAGCUGAAAAUAAAAUCUUAUAUGUUUAUAUAAUUACAUACAAAUUCAAUUACUAUAAAUUAAAAAAAACCGGAGAAGGAGGUCUGCUGUACUGUUUACUAUAGGUGUUCAUAAAGGAUUGGAUUCAAUGAUAUAAAAUCAUUUCAUAAGAAAACGGAAAAACAAUUUUACCCUCUGAGCGAAGAGACCGUUCAUUGAUUUGCCUAAUGCCUAUAAUACUAUUAGUUAUUAUCAAGGUUUUUUUAGUGUACAGUGGGAUACAUUUUGUGGAGUACAAAAAAACAAUUUUAUGAUUAUAUUUAUUCUGUAUUGACAUAUUGUAAAACAAUAAUUGCGAUUGCGUGAACCUCAAAAUAAAAGAAUUUAAUUCGUGAUUAAUGUAGAGAUAGACAUCUGUGCAUAAUAAGUAAUAACCACAUACUACAUGUCUACAUGAUAGAAGUCACAAAUCACAAUAUAGUUUGCUUCAAUACUUUAUAACAGGAGCCGCCAACAAAUGAGCUAAAUAUUUAAAUUUUAAGCAUCUGGUGAUCGACCACUAUAUAUUUAUUAAAGUAUUUAUGAAUUAUAAAACCAUUGAUAUUAUGUAUUCAUAAACAAAGUCUAAUGUUAAAGUUGAAGCAAAUAUAGCAGUGCGCAAUAUUGAAAAACGUGCUAGAGAAACUAUAUGAAACCAACGCUUUCAGAAAUAUAUUAAUGCAUUCCUGGAUUAUCACAAGCAUCUAAGGGAGCCCUUCAACGCUGUCCAGCAUUAAAAAAAAUGAAAUGGAAUACACGCAGCACCAAAUGCAUAGAAUAAUUUUAUGGCACUAGUACACUACAGAUAUCGGAUACAUAUAAAGUUUACUCACCGCCCGAAUACAUAUCGGAAAAUUAUUUAUUAGAUGAUAGUGGACUUUGUGAAAGUAGAAUUUUAAGUUUUUGGAAGACAUAGGAGUUAAGAAAUAUUACAUUCUUCAAAAGUUUGGCAUUGCAAUGGGACAUUUAAAGUAUAGCACCACAAUUUCUGCACAAGUUUACGUUAUUCUUGUGGAAGCACUAAAUCCAUUAAUUUAUGCACUGUUGGCUGAAUAAACAGGAAAAACGUACGAGAAAUUAUUUGACAUGUUAAAUUUAUUAAAACCCGGUUUACAUCUAAGACCAGUGUCAAGUGAUUUUGAAUUAUCAGUAGUUAAUACCAAACUUAACAAAACUUACGAAAUGGAUUUUGCUUCAACUCUUCAAGGUAGGUAUACAAAUACAAAUUAUGCUGAUCUUUCAAUAUUUAUAAAAAUGGUCGUAGCUCUUCCAUUUAUUCCAAUCGAAGAUCUAGAUGCCGCUACACAACAAUUAGGAGAUGACUUACCAGAAUUCUUACAACCUUUACUUGACUGGUUUGAGGACAAUUUACACCUACGAGUUUUGAGUGGUCAAGAUAGGACUAACAACCACAUCCCGAAGCAGCUAAUAGAAAUGGGAGUUCAACAUCCUAGUUUGUGGUCUUUCAUCAACUGUUUACGAUAAGUACAGGCUGAGCGAGAUGUAUUUUACAACCAACUUCAAGCAGGUUAGAGUCUCCCCCCCCUCCAACAAAAAAAUUA